UUCCCGGAGAGUCCUGUUUCCUUCCCCGGCGUUUUCUUCUUCGAGUCCCUUUCUUCUAUACCGUGGUUUUCUUCUCCGAAUCUCCUUCUCCUACAACAUCAUGGCUACUCUGCUUAAAUUUCUUUCUUCCCUUCCAACCAAACUUUCUAGAAACAUCCAAACGGUUGGGCUGGUGACAACCGCCGGCAUUGCUUCCACCGUUUACACGGUAGACCUCGGUCAUACUGCUGUAGUCUUUAAGGGCUAUCUAAGUCCACUUUUUGCCUAAAUCCAGGCAUUCAUUUCCUUCUUCCAUGGAUACAUACACCCCAUGUCUUUGAUGUAAGAGCAACCAUCCAUACUUUGCAAUCGACCUUCUUUACGAAAGAUGAUAAAAGAAUAAGCCUUCAGUUUCGCAUUGUCGCUCGACCAAACGUUGAACAUUUACCCACCUUGCUUAACCGGAGAGGCUUUAGGUAUUACGAAAUAUUAUUGCCCACUCUAAACAGUGGUAUGAAUGAUUUGGGGAAAACUUACACUCUGUCUCAGAUUCUGGAGGAUGAGAUAAUUUUCUCCAAAACCAUUCCUUUUGCGCGAAAAUGCCCACAAAAACGGCGAUGACGCGACUCGGGGAGGCUUCCUUUCUUUCUUUCUACGUUGGUCCUGGUAGAGUUCCUCCUUUCUUGUGGUGUGGUGCGGCGAGGCGUUUUGGUGGAUGAUUUUGAUUUCUUGUUCUGGAGGUUUUGAUUCACGACGCAAUCCUCUUCCUCUUCUAAGAUUGCGAUUAGGGUUUCAGUUGUUCUUGAAGAUUUGGGGGUUUUUCUGUUCGAUCAUCUGAUUUCUUCUACAACAUUAGAUGUAGGGUUUCAUUCCAUUUGAAAUUGGGUUUCCCACGUUCUUGUGGUUUGAUUAAGGUUGAUGGCUGCGAUACAAGAUUCGUCUCUGGAAUGUCUCUGGAAUUGAGGAUUAUAUUUUGAGAAAUUUUGGGUUUUUAUGCGUUUUAGGGUCCUGGUUCGGGGUGGCUGUGGGUGGUUGCUGCAAACGGAGCAGCCAUAGAGGUUGCGGUGAUGGAUGAUCGUGAAGUUCCCAGGCUUGGGAUGAACUGGCUGAUUUCCUGGAACACAGAUGAAUAAAACCGAACGUUGGUGAUCCAAUCCUUGCUGGCUUAGCGCUCGGGUGCCGCCACGGCAACGGAGGCGGAGCGAACCUCCGAGGAGAAGAAGCAGAAGUCGCCGAGGGUGAAUGACUCUCCAGCGAGGAUGAUGAUGUAAGCAAAUCUUACGAUGACAAUGAGAAGGCCGAUGAUGAGUAACUGUGUCAAAACAUUUCUGAGUAAGGCCGGCUUCCCUGUGGCAGGCUCCAUGGAAACAGAUUGUACACUUUUCUUCAAGAAAAUAAUAUGCUUUCAAUAUUUCUUCAAUUUAUCGUAGAAGCGAGUGAAGGAGUGGUUAGCGUCGAAGGAUAAAACAAGAUUUAUGGCUAUGGAUUCCUGUUUGAGUUAUAUGAAACAAUGAUGAAGAAGUAAGAGAAGAAGUGAUAAAAAUAAGAGGAACGUCGUGUGGAGGUUCCAAAUUGCAUAAUUUUUCAAAUUUUCUUUUAAUUUACUAAAUUUCAUGUUAUCACUAACAGCAUAUUUUUUUUAAUAAAAUAUCCACCUUAGCA